AGCAUGUGGUUUAAUUCGAGGCAACGCGAAGAACCUUACCAGGUCUUGACAUCCCGAUGCUAUUUCUAGAGAUAGAAAGUUACUUCGGUACAUCGGUGACAGGUGGUGCAUGGUUGUCGUCAGCUCGUGUCGUGAGAUGUUGGGUUAAGUCCCGCAACGAGCGCAACCCCUAUUGUUAGUUGCCAUCAUUCAGUUGGGCACUCUAGCGAGACUGCCGGUAAUAAACCGGAGGAAGGUGGGGAUGACGUCAAAUCAUCAUGCCCCUUAUGACCUGGGCUACACACGUGCUACAAUGGUUGGUACAACGAGUUGCGAGUCGGUGACGGCGAGCUAAUCUCUUAAAGCCAAUCUCAGUUCGGAUUGUAGGCUGCAACUCGCCUACAUGAAGUCGGAAUCGCUAGUAAUCGCGGAUCAGCACGCCGCGGUGAAUACGUUCCCGGGCCUU
rnacentral:rRNA from 1 species